CGGAAACCUUCGGGUUUUAGUGGCGAACGGGUGAGUAACACGUAAGCAACCUACCCUAAAGACGAGGAUAACCAUUGGAAACAGUGGCUAAGACUGGAUAGGAAGAUAAAAGGCAUCUUUUAUCUUUUAAAAGACCUAGUAAUAGGUAUGCUUUAGGAGGGGCUUGCGCCAUAUUAGUUAGUUGGUAGGGUAAUGGCCUACCAAGACGAUGAUGUGUAGCUGGACUGAGAGGUUGAACAGCCACAUUGGGACUGAGACACGGCCCAAACUCCUACGGGAGGCAGCAGUAGGGAAUUUUCGGCAAUGGAGGAAACUCUGACCGAGCAACGCCGCGUGAAUGACGAAGUACUUCGGUAUGUAAAGUUCUUUUAUCAAGGAAGAAAAGCAAAUGGCGAACCAUUUGUUUGCCGGUACUUGAUGAAUAAGCCCCGGCUAAUUAUGUGCCAGCAGCCGCGGUAAGACAUAAGGGGCAAGUGUUAUCCGGAAUUAUUGGGCGUAAAGGGUGCGUAGGCGGUCUAGUAAGUCAGUGGUGUAAUGGCAACGCUUAACGUUGUCCGGCUAUUGAAACUGCUAAACUUGAGUUAGAUAGAGGCGAGUGGAAUUCCAUGUGUAGCGGUAAAAUGCGUAAAUAUAUGGAGGAACACCAGAGGCGUAGGCGGCUCGCUGGGUCUUAACUGACGCUGAGGCACGAAAGCGUGGGGAGCAAACAGGAUUAGAUACCCUGGUAGUCCACGCCGUAAACGAUGAGUACUAAGUGUCGGGUUAAACCGGUACUGAAGUUAACACAUUAAGUACUCCGCCUGAGUAGUACGUACGCAAGUAUGAAACUUAAAGGAAUUGACGGGACUCCGCACAAGCGGUGGAUCAUGUUGUUUAAUUCGAAGAUACCCGAAAAACCUUACCAGGUCUUGACAUGUUUUUGCAAAAUGAUAGUAAUAUCGUGGAGGUUACCAGAAACACAGGUGGUGCAUGGUUGUCGUCAGCUCGUGUCGUGAGAUGUUAGGUUAAGUCCUAAAACGAGCGAAACCCUUAUCGUUAGUUGCCAGCACGUUAUGGUGGGGACUUUAACGAGACUGCCAAUGAUAAAUUGGAGGAAGGUGAGGAUCACGUCAAAUCAGCAUGCCCCUUAUGACCUGGGCUACAAACGUGAUACAAUGGCUGUUACAAAGGGUAGCUGAAACGCAAGUUCUUGGCCAAUCCCCAAAAACAGUCCCAGUCCGGAUUGAAGUCUGCAACUCGACUUCAUGAAGUUGGAAUCGCUAGUAAUCGCGAAUCAGCAUGUCGCGGUGAAUACGUUCUCGGGGUUUGUAC
rnacentral:rRNA from 1 species